AUUGAACGCUGGCGGUAUGCUUAACACAUGCAAGUCGAACGCGAAAGUACCUUCGGGUGCGAGUAGAGUGGCGGACGGGUGAGUAAUGCAUAGGAAUCUACCAUGAAGUGGGGGACAACCCGGAGAAAUCCGGGCUAAUACCGCAUAAUCCCUAAGGGGCAAAGGCUUCGGCCGCUUUUUGAUGAGCCUAUGUCGGAUUAGCUUGUUGGUGGGGUAAAGGCCUACCAAGGCGACGAUCCGUAGCUGGUCUGAGAGGACGAUCAGCCACACUGGGACUGAGACACGGCCCAG
rnacentral:rRNA from 1 species